UACGAAGGGGGCUAGCGUUGCUCGGAAUGACUGGGCGUAAAGGGCGCGUAGGCGGCUCUCAUCGUCGGGCGUGAAAUUCCUGGGCUUAACCUGGGGGCUGCGUUCGAUACGUGGGGGCUUGAGUGUGGGAGAGGGUCGUGGAAUUCCCAGUGUAGAGGUGAAAUUCGUAGAUAUUGGGAAGAACACCGGUGGCGAAGGCGGCGACCUGGUCCAUGACUGACGCUGAGGCGCGAAAGCGUGGGGAGCAAACAGG
rnacentral:rRNA from 2 species